UACGUAGGGUGCGAGCGUUGUCCGGAAUUAUUGGGCGUAAAGGGCUCGUAGGCGGUUUGUCACGUCGGGAGUGAAAACUCAGGGCUCAACCCUGAGCGUGCUUCCGAUACGGGCAGACUAGAGGUAUGCAGGGGAGAACGGAAUUCCUGGUGUAGCGGUGGAAUGCGCAGAUAUCAGGAGGAACACCGGUGGCGAAGGCGGUUCUCUGGGCAUUACCUGACGCUGAGGAGCGAAAGCAUGGGGAGCGAACCGG
rnacentral:rRNA from 1 species